UCUGGGAUGUGAUGAGAUAAUCAACGAUUAUCAGAUGUUCAAUUUUAUUGUUCUAUGCUGAAUAAUUGCACGUCAGUCUGAUCCCAAU